UAAAGUUAGCUGUGUCAGGUAAGCCUACUGUCAUUGAAUACUUAGCUCUUGGUCCCUUGAAUAGAGGGGCCUACCUGAAGACCUGUAAGUCUUACACCUUUCCCCCAUUUCACUUAUGAAUACCCUCAAAUUAAAACUGAGAUUCUUCACUUCACACCCGUAUUCCCUAUAUAACUUAAAUACUCAAUAAACUACUAAAAUUGCACAAAUGUGUGCGGCGCCACAGGGGGCGUGCGGGAAUGAAUGUGCAUAUCCAUGAUAUGCGAGGACCAGUGGCUGUGGUUGAGGAGCCAUUCGUGGGUGGUCUUGAUCUUGAGCUCCCUGCAUGACUCCGAUUUGCUUCAAUUCUUAGGAAGAGGGGAGGACGACGUCAUGCCCUUAGCAACGGUCGCGUCUCUACGGCAACAUCCUCUCCGAUGUCCCCUCUGUUCUGUUGUCACCGUGGCUCCCAUCUGCUGUCGGUGAGAUCGAAAACCCCACUCGGAUGAUGUGAGGAUUUUGGAGGAUGGUGUGUUGCCACGGGCGAAAGCCGGAGCGACCACCACCACAGCGGCAGCGGCAGCCGGUAGUGUCAUUCCGCACAGUAAGUGUUAAAGUUGGAGUGGACAAAGGGCAGCUUGGACACGAAGCUCUUCAGUCAUCUUCAUCCUCGUCAUCAUCAGUCAACCUAACAUCUGCACACGACCGUGCCCUCCGUCCGCAUCUGGACCGUUUUGUGACUGCCGGGUUUCAUCCAGCGGUGCGCGCGUACGGCUGAAUGGAUCCCGCCGUGCUCAUUUUCCUGCUGUAUGUGAUGAUCGCGCACGACCUGGUGUGCGGCUGGAUGCAAUACCGGAGACAGAGCGCCAAGCCCCGCAAGCGAGCCGCUGGACCUCUGCUGCGCUCAAGUGCCCGGGUGUGUCAGGGAGCGUGGAGGGCGAGCAGUGCGACAGACAGGAACAGCAGAGGAGGGAGGGACCUAAGGAAGAGUGGACGCAUCGUGAGGAAAGCCUGAUGAAGAAAGAAGCCUGACAAAUGCCUUGUUUAUGAACGACUCCUGAGUGUGAAGCAGCCUGGAAGAUUCAGUUCACAUUCCAACCAUUUAUGACUGUAGUUAUUUGGCAUUUUCAUUGAAACUGUCUGACAUCAAUAUGCAGAUGGGAAAAUUGCUGGGAGGAUAAGAUUAAAAAAGUCCAUAACA